rnacentral:tRNA from 1 species
GGCGGGGUGCCUGAGCGGUUGAAAGGAGCGGUCUUGAAAACCGUUAAGGGAGCAAUCCCUUCGUGAGUUCGAAUCUCACCCCCGCCGCCA